GACGAACGCUGGCGGCGUGCUUAACACAUGCAAGUCGAACGGUGAACGCGGGCUCUUGCUCCCUCCGGCACAGUGGCGCACGGGAGUGUAACACGAGUACAAUCUGCUCCGAAUUCUGGGAUAUUCGUUGGACACGACGUCUAAUACCGGAUACGAUGCUGCUGCGCGUUCUUUCCUCGUGGAAAGCACUUGGGUUGGGGAUGAGCUCGCGGUCUAUCAGCUUUUUGGUGAGGUUACGGCUCACCAAGGCGACGACGGGUAGCCGGCCUGAGAGGGUGACCGGCCACACUGGGACUGAGACACGGCCCAGACUCCUACGGGAGGCAGCAGUGGGGAAUAUUGCACAAUGGGCGCAAGCCUGAUGCAGCAACGCCGCGUGCGGGACGACGGCCUUCGGGUUGUAAACCUCUUUUGGCAGGGAAGAAGCGAAAGUGGCGGUACCUGCAGAAAAAGCACCGGCUAACUACGUG
rnacentral:rRNA from 1 species